rnacentral:rRNA from 1 species
GACGAACGCCGGCGGCGUGCUUAACACAUGCAAGUCGAGCGAUGAAAGCCUUAUGAACUAUUCGUAGUGAUUGGGGCCGGAUUAGCGGCGGACGGGUGAGUAACGCGUGAGCAACCUGCCUUAAACAACGGGAUAGCCUCGGGAAACCGGGAUUAAUACCGUAUGAGACCCCGCCUUCACAUGAAGAAGAGGUUAAAGAUUUAUCGGUUUAAGAUGGGCUCGCGUCUGAUUAGCUAGUUGGUGAGAUAAAAGCCCACCAAGGCAACGAUCAGUAACCGGCUUGAGAGAGUGAACGGUCACAUUGGAACUGAGACACGGUCCAAACUCCUACGGGAGGCAGCAGUGGGGAAUAUUGCACAAUGGGGGAAACCCUGAUGCAGCGACGCCGCGUGAGCGAUGAAGGAAUUCGUUUCGUAAAGCUCUGUCCAAGGGGAAGAUAAUGACAGUACCCUUGGAGGAAGCCCCGGCUAAAUACGUGCCAGCAGCCGCCGUAAAAC